rnacentral:lncRNA from 1 species
UUUCAUUCUGAUUUUCUGGCUGAAGACUAUUCUGUUUGUGUAUGUCCACCACAGUUACUUUAUCCCUUCAUCUGUGGAUGGGCAGAAUGAAACAUAUAUGGAAAUGUUCUGUGCAAUAAAAACAGCAGUGGUAACAGAGAUGUAGGCUCUGAGUGUCUCACUGGAGACUGAAGUCCACAGAUAUGCAACAAAGCCUUUGUCUCCCUGAUGUUUUUGCCUCCUGCUGGUCAUGUGCUUUCACACAUCAAGAGAGGACAUUUAACAUUUGAGCCACAGUGUCAUUUGCUGUCGUCUUAUGGUUGGUUGGCAGAGAAUUUGAACUGGAGAUGAACUUUAUUAUCCAGGAUGCUGAGAGUAUAACAUGCAUGACAGAGCUUUUAGAGCACUGUGAUGUAACAUGUCAAGCAGAAAUAGGGAGCAUGUUUACAGCCAUUCUAUGAAAAAGUGUUCGGAAUGUACAGACUAGCACAGAAGCUGGACUAAUUGAACAAGUAUUGCUGAAAAUGAGUGCUGUAGAUGACAUGAUAGCAGGUAUGGGGUUGUCUGUCAGGAAAGUAUAACUUAAAUGUUUAUAAAGUUUCACAUACUUCUCUUUAUAUUCUAUAGGUAAUGUAGAUUUGUU